rnacentral:rRNA from 1 species
GAUGAACGCUGGCGGCGUGCCUAAUACAUGCAAGUCGAGCGGAGCGGGGACGGGUGAGUCACACGUGGCUAACCUCCUAUAAGGCUGGGAUCACUUCGGGAAACCGGAGCUAGACCGGAUACUAAUACGUGGAACCGAGCUGCAUUAGCUAGUUGGUAAGGUAACGGCUUACCAAGGCGACGAUGCAUAGCCGACCUGAGAGGAUGAUCAGUCACACUGGAACUGAGACACGGUCCAGACUCCUACGGGAGGCAGCAGUAGGGAAUAUUCCGCAAUGGGCGAAAGCCUGACGGAGCAAUGCCGCGUGAGUGAUGAAGGUCUUCGGAUCGUAAAACUCUGUUAUUAGGGAAGCGGUACCUACUCAGAAAGCCACGGCUAACUACGUGCCAGCAGCCGCGGUAAUAC